rnacentral:rRNA from 1 species
GAUGAACGCUGGCGGCGUGCCUAAUACAUGCAAGUCGAGCGAACGGACGAGGAGCUUGCUUUUCUGAUGUUAGCGGCGGACGGGUGAGUAACACGUGGAUAACCUACCUAUAAGACUGGGAUAACUUCGGGAAACCGGAGCUAAUACCGGAUAAUAUUUUGAACCGCAUGGUUCAAAAGUGAAAGACGGUCUUGCUGUCACUUAUAGAUGGAUCCGCGCUGCAUUAGCUAGUUGGUAAGGUAACGGCUUACCAAGGCAACGAUGCAUAGCCGACCUGAGAGGGUGAUCGGCCACACUGGGACUGAGACACGGUCCAGACUCCUACGGGAGGCAGCAGUAGGGAAUCUUCCGCAAUGGGCGAAAGCCUGACGGAGCAACGCCGCGUGAGUGAUGAAGGUCUUCGGAUCGUAAAACUCUGUUAUUAGGGAAGAACAUAUGUGUAAGUAACUGUGCACAUCUUGACGGUACCUAAUCAGAAAGCCACGGCUAACUACGUG